AGCUCCUCUCCACAUUCGUUUUAAUAUUUCAUGGCUCUCUUGGAAGAGGGAGGAGCAACAUCUCUCUGUGCAUGUUCCUCUUAAUCGAUUUGUUAUGGCAAUUAUAACUUUUUUUUACUCCAGAGGAUGCGAAGGAGACUGCUGCUUCCUGGAAAGGGAGUGUUUUGGAAGACGGUGAAAUGCAAGUGUCCUCCCCACGGUGCCACUUGUGGCGUGUUCCCCGAAGACUUCCCUGCUUUUCUGGAAAGCCAGGGUCCUUCCAGCCUGGGGGCUGAUGGCUAAGACCUCGUCUGAGGGUCACUGUUGCUGCUGUGGGGCCGAACCACAGAGGCUGUUCCCAUCACGUUUGUAACCAUCCUCAUUUCCUCAACUUUUGAUACGUAACCUGUGUCAAAACACAGAGUUAUAGCUGUGGACAAUCACCCUGAAGGAACUGGUGAGUAAAAACAAAACUAUGACUUUUCUGUAAGAACAAAAGAGCCACUUUUUUUUCAAAGUAUGGCAAAGAUUUGAUUAACCUGAGGAAUGCAGGGUACUGAUUAAUUGAGUUUUCUGAUGAACUGACAGGUUAGUCUGAUGGGAAAACUGAUGAGAACGAAAACCAUCAUGUUCCUAUCUUAUUAAGAAAGUGUAUAACGCACAAUGCAGGUCACUUUGCUGGUAAUAUCUUCUUCCUACUCCAAGUCAUUGUCAGAAAUACCUACAGGGCCAGAGAGAUGGUACAUGGGCUGGGCUGAUGGACAGGUAGUCCUGGGGUCCUUGAGGGAAAUUCUGGGGAGGAAGAACCUUGUGGGGAAAUGGGGGGAGGGCAGAGGGCACUUGACGGUUCUUUUCCUACAGAAUCGACUCCUUCAACUGAGCUAAAUAAAUAAGAUUCUGGGCCACAUCGAAAUGAGAGGAGAUGCUCUCAGAAGGAAGUCUCCGGACUCCAAGUCCUCAGCCAGCAUCACGGGGGAAGGCAGCUGAGCCCUGGGAUUCAGAGCCUGGAAUCACAUUCCCGGGCUGAGAGUGGCUGAACAGUCACUGAGCAGCAGGUCAGACGCCCGUCGGCCCUGGGACGCGGUGGGUGUGAGCACAGGGCCUGAGGCGUGUGCAGCUACUCAGAUGGAAGCGCCUGUCAACAUCUUGGUGACAAGCUGUAAAUGCAUUUACACUGUGCUCCAUGGGCUGUGGAAUUUUUAGCUAGAAAUAAAGGAAGGGGGACCCUUCCCCACCUGGAGUCCUUCGGAGAUGCUGUGUUGACGGACUCUGCCCCUGACCGAUGGAAGAAGCGAUUCACAGUCCACACCGCUGUCCAGGGUUGAUUCAGCUGCUCCGCCAGCACCUUCAUUUCUUCUCUUGAACUUUCCUCAUUCAACUUCUCAGCCAUGUAAACCAACCACAGUUACAACCACUGUAAAGCAGAUGGGCAGCAGGGAGGGGACAUUAAUGCUAAGGGGACAUUAAUGCUAAGAAUGGACUGACUCUGUGACCAGAGCAGCGGUCCUGCCUUCCUGACAGCACAGAGAGGCAUUACAGUUUCAUGGGUCACCUAGACUCUAAAAUCAAACUCAGGGCAGUAGCUACUAGCGACCUUGUUUGCUGGCCUAUGUUCUAGAAUGUAAGCACAGAAAGGUAGGGAUUUUCACCAUUUUAUUCUUUGCUGUGUGCAGUGCCCUGAAAAGCAAACACCAGCCCAGAGGCCCAGUGAAUGUUAGCAGUGCAGGAGUGCCAAGCAUGGUAGUAAAAUCAUUCUGUGUUUCUAUUUACAUCUCAUAAAAGCAGAUUAAUUUACAUGCUAGGUGUCUAUUUACACAGUAGAUAACAGUGUAUGUUUUCACCAAUCUUCUUGUACCCACUGUUAAAACAGCAAAUGAAUAAUCCCUUCAUUUGUAUUUCUCUUCAUCUUGGGGAACUAUUGUUUAUCCCGUUGACUUCUGAAGAAAUUGAAAGAGUAAAAAAGUUGGCCAUUUAUCUGAAAUGAGAGUGUGUUUUUUCAAAAAAGAAAAGGCUCCCCAGAGAAUAUUUACAUGCUGUUGAGCAUUUAGUAAGAAAACAUUUCAAACUAACCAGCAUCAAUGGAAUUGUGGAGCCUGCAGCGCCGUCACUUAAUUUCAAAGGAGAGACAGACUAAAUCCAGAAGACGACACAGCACAGGGCUCCAUCGCACCUGCCUAGUCAACUUGGGGGUUUAACAAUGCAGACACAUCAGUAUGAAUUGCUUCCGAUAGCCAAGCGUUCACAGCGGAGGGUUUGCUCUUAACUGUUUUUCUAUUGCCGACUUGGGCUCGAUGGCAGCAUUUUCCAUGAUGUGUCCGUGAUGAAAUUGGAUGCACAUGCAUGUGAGGUUUCCAUCCAGCUAAGACCAUGUUUGGGGAGAAGCCAACUGCAGAUGCAGUGUUCUGCCUAUGGUCUGGAAACUCCAAGGUCACUAAAGUGCAGCAAGUUCAGAGAGACAGAUGACAGGGAAGGAUGGACUUGCCUGUUUGGAGGCUCAGGGUCAUCACAGGACACCAAGCCCAGGCAGCUCAGUUCACAGGCACGUGGGGAGGCUAGGGAAGCUGGGAGGCUGGGGAGGAGGCUUGAUUCUCUCCUCUCCUCCGCUGGCCUCCACAUCCUUUCUCUUGGGAGACCCUCAAUGAAGAUGCAUUAAUUGGUUUUGUCUUUGGACAGUAGUCCAUGGUUUUGUUCCAGAAAUCCUUAUUAAAAUAGCACUCAGACUUUUCAAAAAAUGUUUGUUUUACAUUUUUGCCUCACUCUCGUAACAACACAGAAAUGACUGCAGGGGGCUUACCACCUCCAGUAAGCCUCCCAGGCACCCGCAGACCAGAACAGAGCAUUUUAAUACCUUGACCACGCCUCACAGCUACACAGGGGAUGCCAGGCCACGGUCCAGACUUGCGGGCUCCAGGAGGGCACCUCCCUGUCACGCUGCACAUGCUGCUCGAAUGCAAGGCAGCACGACUGCAAAUUCAGGUUUGAAAACAGAAACAAACCUGUAAAGCAAAACGCAGUAGCUAUAAACCUAGAAAGA